rnacentral:lncRNA from 1 species
AACCCGAGGCCCGGCCUGGGGCGCGGCUGCUGGGCGCUAGGCCCGCGACGCUGAGGUGCGCGCGCCCCGGGCGGGAGGAGGGGCUGCACCGCCUGGCGAAUGGGAGGGGGACUGGCAGGCUCUCCCUUCCCAAGGGAGGUCGUCCUGUCGCCCUAGACUAAACCCAGGAAGGCUUUUAAAAGAAGCAGAGUCUCCGCGGGGGGAAGCUUGUUCCCUGAGAGGUGGCCGCAGACGAACCCACUGCUCAGUCUGGCAUCCCGAAGCCGCUCCGCUCCUGGCUCUCCCCGCUGUUCCUGCGCGCAGCGGGGGCAGUGCCCCCACACCCACGCGUGAUGGGAAGGCCGGCCUGGGGGUGGGAAGGCCCACCGAAAUAGAUGGUCCCCACACCUCACUGCUUCCUUGGAUGUGGCUAUUUUUUAUGCCAGUGUUCUCCUGCUCUGACCCUACUUGAACUUGACCGCAACCGGCCCCGCCUUGCAGGCCACCCUCCCGCAGCAGAAAACUGUGCGGAGCUCGCGCUGUCCUCGCCUCCGCUGACCCCACCUCCAUGUCCUCACAGACACUAUUUUUUCACAACACAGCUCAGAUCCCACCUUCUUCAUGAGGUUAUUCAACAAACACUAUUAAACUUGUAAGAUGUACCAGAUCCUGAGUUGGAGGCUGAGAGGAGGACAAGAAAACUGCUCCCGUAGCCUAGAGGGAGGGAGAGUCGCUUAAACCACCUGAUGCAGAAUGCUGAGUGCGGAGACCAGGAGGGUCCAUCUGAACCUCAGGGUCCUCUAGGAUACCCAGGACCUCGAGGGUUAAGGUAACCGACCUCCUGGCUGGGGAUAAAGGAAUGUGUUCAGGGGAGCAAGAUGGGGUCUCAAGAGUUUGGUCUUUUUAACCCACCUCUAUCCCCUCACCACUCUACCUCUGUUCACCUCUAAGUCCAGGGUAGAGAUGGAAUUCGGAGUCUGAAGGGCCAUGAGGGUGCAAAGGUGAGCACCGUGCCCCCAGCUUCCCAGCACCUCACUCCUGCCUGCCCCAUGCUACCCUCUAGCUCCUGAGCCCACCCUUCCAGCCAUGUUCUCAGAAUCCUACAUUAGAACCCCCAGCCCUCUCUCAUCUGUGGGGUCCUCUCACCUCCGUCUUUCUCAAGGGAGAACGACUGUCUUGGAUUCAAAGGUGACAUGUGUGAAGGAUAUCAGGUUGAGUGAAGACCUCACGCUGGCCCCUACUCCGUGUCCUAAUGAUGCACUCUGGAGCCCCCAAGCACCAGUUCAUUCCCUGGAGGCCCUGGGCUCCCCAGUGCUGUGCAUCCUUGGGGGCCUGAUCCCUGCAGGACUGUAACCCCAUGGUCUGCAACACGCUGGCCAUGGAUGACGACACUAUUCAUACCCUUCAGCGUUCCCUGUCCCGCAAUAGCUCCUGGGAUCUACCAGCCCCACUCAGCCUCUCUGGUGACUGCUUCUCCUCUGGGCUCAGACCUCAUCCCCAGACCCCAACGCUCACCUCUCCCACCCUCUCCCUCCCUGACUGUGCUUCCUCCACAGGGAACAUCGGGUGGUGAUGGCCUCCAUGAUCCCCCAGAGAAAGGGUGUGACUUGAGUGCCUUCUUCCUCUGUGCUCCCCAGGGAGCAGCAGCAUCAGAGUGCUCCCAGGGUGCCAAAGGGACACACUGGACCAACUGGAGACCCUGGGCCCCCUGGAUUCACAGCUGACAAUGGAUUGAGGUGGGUAUAGAAGAAGUCAAGGAAAAGCCCCUGUCAUGAAGAGUUGGAUGGAGACAGGCACAGAGUGGCCGCAGGUCCAAGCAGAGUGAACAUGCGUCCAAACUGGCAGUGGCAGCCCCUAGAAGGGAGACACCAACAGCACCGAGAUCUGUGGUCUCCAGAGCUGACAUCUCCUGCACUUGCCACGUGCAGGCGCUGUGCGGGACCUCCUCUCCAUCCUGUGAGGGUCUCCCUGAACUCAGGGUCCCAAUGGAUUUCCUGGCCCCAAAGAGCCCCUGGGCACCCUGGGAAUGACAAGCUGCCGGGACACUCAGGCCAGAGAGGAAAGGUGGUGAGGGAGACCCCUGGCCACCAAUUCUCAGGAGGCCCCUCAAAUGCCAAAGCUGUCUGGGAGGCCCACAGAGACAUUUUCUGAGCAGAACAGAGCCUGCCCUAAUGCUGUCCACACCCACGGGCCGAGGCUUGAUGUGACCUUGUUCCUCUUCUGGAGCCCAGGCAUCUACCCUACAGCACCCACUGCACUCCCCCCUUUUCCUCUCAGGGUUUCCAAGGGGAGAGCAGCCCCCGUGGCCCCCCAUAUGUGGUGGGACCUCAGCUAGGUCUGUUCCCAGGAGAGAACGGCUCCCAGACCCUGGAGUUAAGUCUGUCUGGCUCUCUUCUCUCAGUCACACACCCCUGCCUCUGGCUCGCAUGUCUGGAACAGGGUGUCCAUGGGGUUCAAGGGAAGGAUGUUCCUGGUCUGAGGGGCUUCCCAGGAGAGAGAGGCCUCCUAGGCACUGCUGGUUCCCCCCUAGGGAGUGAGGUGCAGCAGGAUCAAGGGACCCAUUGCCCCCCGCCAGGGUGCCCAGGCCCUCAGGAACCCCCUGGAUCAGCAGGAGAGACAGGUGUCCCAGGUGAAAAGGGCCCCAUUUGUCUGCCUGGCUGUGAUAGGGUGCAGAGUCCUGUGUGACUUCCUGGUCCUGCUGGGCCUCCAGGUGUGGCUGGAGAAGAUGGAGACCAAGAGGAGAACCCCAGAGAACCCGACCAAUCUUCUCUCCACAUGAGAGGGCUGAGGGCCCUCCUGGACCCCCUGGACUCACUGGUCCAUGGAACAGCCUGUAGCAGUGGGAGCAGAUUGGGAGCCCAGAGCUCAGGGACCCCAGGGACACUUUGGAGCCAGAGUGUGGGGAGCCAAAGGCAAUAAAGGGACUACCUGGACCCAGUGGCACUGGUGGUCCACAAGAUCCCCUGGGAGGUGUUGGGGCCCUGGGUCCCCCUGGAGAGAAGGUAAUUGGGAAAGGGAUGAAGGGGACCAGUCUUGUGGAUGAGGAAUGACAGUUGGAUUUCUGCCAAUUUUUUGUUGAGGAGACAAAAGAGAAUAAAAUGUGAGAAAUACCAGGAUUUUGUGAGGGGGCAAUGAGGUUUUUGACCCCAAUCUCUUUGCUCCUGGAGCCAGGAGAGUCAGGAUCUCCAGGAAUCCAGGGUGAGCCGGGUGUCAGGGUCUUGGUUUUCCUGGAGACCCUGGCCCCCCAGGAGAAGGUGGCUCAUGACCAGGACAGUGUUAACGGUGACUAUGGCAAGGAUGGUGAGCCAGUACAGCCCGUGAGUGACCAAUGUCCCUGCCACCCCCACUGAGCUCCAGCCUUCAGCCCCUUACCCCUCUUUUCUGUGCCCUACUCCUGAGGGGUCCCUUAGCUGGAGGCCAACACUCACCCACCCCAAUUCCUCUCAUUCUGUGGAUCCUCUGGUCCCACUGGGGAGAAUGGACUACCUGGACCACAUGGAAAGCAGGGUCAGCUAAGAAUAGCCAUGACUCAAGGGUCAGCUAAGAAUAGUCAUGACUCAAGGGUCAUUUAGGACACAGGAAGAUACCAGAUGAGGAAACUCUCCCCAAGUCCUAAACUCAUUCACAAAUUAGAACACAUAGGUCCAGCCCAGGCACAGUGGCUGAAGCCUGGAAUCCUCCCGCUUCCUGCUUCGGGAGACCAAGGCAAGAGGAUCUCUCGAAGUGUGAGUUGGAGGCCAGCUUGGGCGACACAAUCAGGAAAAGCAAGUGGCCACCAGGUGGCGCCCAAGAACUGGGCCCGAGUUCCCUGGGAGGAAUCUGCACGCAGCCCUGGGAUGGCACAGGGAUGCCUCACGGGACACCUGGCCUCGUCCUGGUAGCCCCUUGCUUGCAUUUCCCGGCCCUGGGGUGUCCUCCCCGACUGCACAUGCAUGUAGAGACCAUUCCUCCUUCUCCAAAGAGGGAUUUGGAACAAUUCUCACAUGACCUGACGAGGGACAGUGGCUGUGCUCAGGGUCCCUCUUUUGUCCUCAGAGCAUGACCAGGCCUGUGGCUCUUGCUCAUUGCCCAAGAGCAUGGGAGGUUGCCCGUGGCAAGGCCCUGGAGGACCCUGCUGUGCUGCCUGGGACCAGGAGGCCCGGCUGCCUUCUCCCAGCACCUCUCCCAGUUAGGGUACUGUGCAGGAAAUGGGUGCAGAGGCCAUAGUGGUGGCUGCUCCUGGGGUCCCAGCAGCUCUAGCUGAGGCAGGAGGAACCAGGGAGCCCAGGAGGCUGAGGCCCCUGUCCUACUGCUCUGGUCGUGCUGCAGUCUCUGUCACCACCAACAACUGCAGUGAGGUGAGCCACUGGGCUGCAGGCUCUAGCCUCCAGCCUGUGACAGAUGCCUCCUCUUUCUGACUCCUCCUGUAGCAGGGCACGGAGAAGCUCUCGCUCAUCGCUGCCUCCUACCACUCCGAACAUGCUGCAGUCUCGUUGACCACGCUGCAGUCUUGGUGGCCACCACCAACUGCAGGGAGCCUGGCCAGGUGCCGCAAGUUGCAGCCUCCACCUCCUCCUCUAAGUCGGGCUUGGAGCAGCAGCGGGAGCAGUCACAGAAGAGGCUGGAAUGGUGGAAUGCACCCUCAGUAUGCAUUAUAUAUAGAGGUUUCGGCAAUGAGGGCCUGGACUUUGUGUUCUGAUUGGAUGGGGGAAACCUCUAGGCUUUAUCUUCAUGCCCUGAUUGGUUAUCCUAAGAGUUGCUCUCAUCCAGUCUUCUUUAUAAGUGGUCAUCUUUGUAAGUUCAUGCCCACUGGGAGUUACUGAAGUUGUGAAUGAUUACAUUUAAACUUAUCCUGUAAUUUUAGUCUGAUUUAUUAAUUCCACCUAUCUCCUUAAGCAAAUUAUUCUCUAUAGUGAUGACCCAAGCAAAUUCCUGUCCCAAGAUGGUAUCAAGAUGAUACCCAAGUUCCUCUCCAGAAUGGUAUCUGGAUAUAUGUGGAGGGAAAUAUUUUUUCUAGGCCUGUAUUAAAUAUGGCACUAAAGCUUAGUGGCUUAAAACAAUACACUGUUAUUAUCUCACAGCUUCUGUGAAUAAGUAGUUCAGGAGAGUGUAGCUGGGUGAUUCUUGCCAAGAGUCUCAUAAGGUUGCAGUCAAUCUGUUGGUGAGAAUUGUAGUUACUUGAAGACUUGGAGUUGAAGAAUUUAUAUCAAAGAUGGCUUACUUAUGGCAAUUGGAUGGAAGCCCCAGUUUCAGAAUGGCUGCUGGCAACAGGUCUUUUUACUUGCCACAUGGACCUCUCCAUAGGCUGACUGAAUGUCCUCCCAAUGUGUCAUCUGGCUUUCUCCAGUGCAAAAGAUCAAAGAAGAGAGUAUGAAGGAACCCGUAAUGCUCUUUAUAAUUUUGUCACAGACCGUCACUUCUGCCAUACUCUAUUGUUUAGAAGUUAGUCAUUAAGUCCAGCCCACACUCAAAAGAACGAGAAUUAACCUCCACCUUUGGAAGAGAGGCUAGUCAAAGCACUUGUGGACAUGUUUUGAAACCACAAAGGGGUAUGGCUGCCAGUCUCCAAGAUGGCCGCCAGUGAUUCUCAUCAGCUGUUAUUAAUACAUUUGUAUAGUCCCUUCCCACAAGAAAAAAGAGUUGAUCUGUUUAAUUAGUAUUAUUUUGUUGAAAUGACAGAGUCUGACUUGCAAGUUUAGGUCAUAAGAAGAAUUUUGACUUCUGCCUUAUUCUCUAUUGGAUCAAUAUCCCUAGGGGAAGCUAGAUGCAAUGUCAUGAAAUCAUUCAAACAGUCCCAUGGAACAAUCCAUCUAGCAAGGAACUGAUAUCUCCUAGCAAUAGCUGGCAUUAACUUACAAGUCGUAUGAGUGGGCCAUCUUAGAAUUGGAUUCUUCAGUCCAAAUCAAGUCUUCAGAUAACUGUAGCCCUGGCUGACAUCUUGAUUACAUCCUCAAGAGAGACCCUGAGCCAGAAUCACUCAGUUAAGCCACUGAGUUCUUUUUGCCAAAAACUUUUUUUUUACCAAGUUCUUUUUGCCACCAACUUUAUUGAGGUAUAAUUGACAAUUAAGAUUGUAUAUAUUUAAGGAAUACAACUUGAUGAUUUGAUAUACACAUACAUUGUGAAAUAAUCGUGAUAAUUAGGUUAACAUAUUCAUUACUUCACAUAAGUACCAUUUUCGUGUGUGUGUGUGUGUGUGUGUGUGUGUGUGUGUGUGUGUGUGGUGAGAACACAUGAGAUGUAUCCUCUUAGAAAAUUUCAAGUAUACAAUAUAUUAUUGUUAACUACAGUCAUAUUAUUGUAUACUAUGUCUCCAGAACUUAUUCACCUUGCGUAACUGAGAUGCUGUACCCUUGACCAAUGUCUCCCCCUUUUCUUCUCCCUCCAGCCCCUGGUAACUACCCUUCUACUUUCCAGUUCUAUACAUUUGACUCUUUUAGAUUCCACACAUAAGUCAAAUUUUUGACCCUUAGGAGCUGGGUGAAUAAUAAAUAUUUAUUGUUAUUUUCAGCCUUAUGAUUUUAAGUUAAUUUGUUAUGCAGUAAUAGAAGUUGCCACAUGAAGCUAUGACACUGGUUAACUCAUUUAUUCAGUAAACAUUUGCUAAGAGCAGACUAAGUGCCAGGAUCAAUUUUAUAAUUGGGGGUACAGGGUUAAGUCAAAAUGGCAGACUAGAAGCAGAUCAUGUGCACUGCUGUCAUGGAGAGGAAACAAAAUGGCUAGUGAACACUGAUCUUGCCAUGUGAUCCCCUAAGAAACCACAUCAGCAUCCAUGAAGGCAGCAAGGGGACACAGAGAGGAGAGAGGAGUGAAGCUGAGCAGCCCAUCUGUGAUCAGCAUGGAGCUAGAAGAAGCUCCCAAACAUAGGGAAAGAACGGAUUUUCGCUCUUGUCGGCCGGGCUGGAGUGCAAUGGCGUGAUCUCGAUUCACUGCAACUUCCGCCUCCUGGGUUCAAGUGAUUCUCCUGCAUCAGCCUCCCAAGUACCUGGGAUUACAGGCAUGUGCCACUAUGCCCGGCUAAUUAUUUUUGUAUUUUCAGUGGAGAUGGGGUUUCACUAUGUUGGUCAGGCUGGUCUUCAACUCCUGACCUCAAGUGAUCCACCUGCCUCGGCCUCCCAAAGUGCUCACAGGCGUCAGCCACUGCACCCGGCCCCACACAUCCGAAUUCUACCAGAUGUACAAAGAAGAACUGAUACCAAUUCUAUUGAAACUUUUCCAGAAAAUCGAGGAGGAGGGGCUUCUCCUUAACUCAUUCUAAGAAGCCAGCAUCAUCCUGAUACAAAAAUCUGGCAGAGACACAAUGAAAAUGAAAAACUUCAGGCCAAUAUCCUUGAUAAACAUAGAUGUAAAAAUCCUCAACAAAAUACUAGCAAACCAAAUCCAGCAGCACAUCAAAAAGUUAAACCACAAUGAUCAAGCAUACUUUAUUUCUAGGAUACAAGGUUGGUUCAAAAUAUGCAAAUCAACAAAUGUGAUUCAUCACUAAGCAGAACUAAAGACAAAAACCAUAAGGUCAUCUCAAUAGAUGCAGAAAAAAGCCUUUGGUAAAAUCCAACGUCCCUUCAUGAUAAAAACUCUCAACAUAUUAUGCUGAGAGUUCAACAUAUAAUAUUGAAGGAAUAUACCUCAAAAUUAUAAGAGCCAUCUAUGACAAACCCACAACCAACAUCAUACCGAAUGGGCAAAAGCUGGAACCAUUCCCUUUGAAAAUUGGAACAAGACAAGGAUUCCCACUCUCACCACUCCUAUUCAACAUAGUAUUGGAAGUCCUGGUCAGAUAAAUCAGGCAAGAGAAGGAAAGAAAAUGCAUAUGAACAGGAAAAGAAGGAGUCCAAACUCUCUCUUUGCCAAUAUUAUUCUACACCAAGAAAACCCUAAAGACUCUGCCAAAAGGCUUCUGGAAAUGAUAAACAAAUUCAGUAAAGUUUCAGGGUACAAAAUCAAUAUACAAAAAUCAAUAGCAUUUUUAUACAUCAAUAACAUUCUACCUGAGAACCAAAUCAAGAACACAAUCCCAUUUACAAUAGCCACAAAGGAAAUGAAAUACCUAUGAAUUCAUCUAACCAAGGAAGUGAAAGAUCUCUACAAGGAGAACUACAAAGCACUGCUGAAAGAAAUCAGAGACUAUACAAAUAAAUAAAUGGAAAAAUGUUCCAUGCUCAUGGAUUAGAAUGAUCAAUAUAGUUAAAAUGGCCAUACUGCCCAAAGCAAUUUACAAGUUCAAUGCAAUUCUUAUUAAAAUACCAACAUCAUUUUUCACAGAAUAAGAAAAACCUAUUCUAAAAUUCAUUUGGAACCAAAAACAGAGCCCGAAUAGCCAAAGCAAUUAUAAGAAAAAAGAAAAAAAAGCCAUAGGCAUCAUAUUGCUUGACUUCAAACUCUACUACAGUAUACAGCUACCGUAAUCAAAACAGCAUGAUACUGGUACAAAAACAGACAGUGGAACAGAAUGGAAAACCCAGAAAUCUACCUGCACACCUACAACCAUCUGACAAAAUCAACACAAAUAAGCAGCAGGGAAAGGAGUCUCUAUUCAAAGAAUGGUGGUGGAAUAUCUGCCUAGGCAUAUGCAGAAAAAUAAAACUGGACCCCUAACUCUCACCAUACUCAAAAAUGAACUCAAGAUGGAUUAAAGAUUUAAAUCUAAGAUUACAAACUAUAAAAAUCCUAGAAGAAAACCUAGGAAAUACCCUUCUAGACAUGGGCUUUGGCAAAUGAUUUAUGCUAAGUCCCCCAGAGCAAUUACGACAAAACCAAAAAUUGAUAAUUGGGGCCUAAUUAAACUAAAGAGCUUUUGCACAGCAAAAGAAAUUACCAACAGAGUAAACAGACAGCCUACAAAAUGGGAGAAAAUACUUGCAAACUAUGCAUCUAAGGUCUAAUAUCCAGAAUUUACAAGGAACUUAAAUCAAUGAGAAAAAAAAACCAAUUAAGGAAUGAGCAAAGGACAUGAACACUUUUCAAAAGGAGACAUACACAUGGCCAAAACAAACAUAAAAACAUGCUCAACAUUACUAAUCAUCAGAGACAUACAAAUCAAAACCAAGAUGAGGUACUAUCUCACACCAGUUAGAAUGGCAAUUAUUUAAAAAGUCAAAAAAUAACAGCCGUCGGCGAGGCUGCAGAGAAAAGAGAAUGCUUAUCUACUUUUGGUGGAAAUGCAAGCUAGUUCAGCCACUGUGCAAAGCUGUUUGGAGAUUUCCCAAAUACCUUAAAACAGAACCACCAUUCAGUGCUGCAAUCCCGCUACUGGGUAUAUACCCAAAGGAAAAUAAUUCAUUCUAUCAUCAAGACAAAUGCACCUGUAUGUUCAUUGCAGCACUACUCACAAUAGUAAGGACAUAGAAACAACCUAAGUGUCCAUCAACAGUGGACUGGAUAAAGGAUAUGUGGUACACAUACACCAUGGAAUACUACACAGCCAUAAAAAGGAAUGGAAUCAUGCAUGUCCUUUGCAGCAACAUGGAUGGAGCUGGCGGCCAUUAUCCUAAGUGACCUAAAAGAAGAACGGAAAAUCAAAUAACACAUGUUCUCACUUACAGGUGGGAGCUAAACACUGAAGAC